UACAGAGGGUGCAAGCGUUAUUCGGAAUUACUAGGUGUAAAGGGUGCGUAGGUUGUUUAGUAAGUCAUAUGUGAAAAUCCGGAGCUCAACUCCGGACCUGCAUCUGAAACUAUUAGACUAGAGUAUAGGAGGGGAAAACGGAAUUCCUGGUGUAGCGGUGAAAUGUGUAGAUACCAGGAGGAACACCGAUGGCGAAAGCGGUUUUCUGGCCUAAUACUGACACUGAGGCACGAAAGCUAGGGGAU
rnacentral:rRNA from 1 species